rnacentral:sRNA from 1 species
UCUAUGACACGGAACAUCUUGGUGAUUCACUGGUUUAUCCCGUGCAUGUUUAUUAGGCCACUAAAUUUAAAAGCAAUUUUAAUAUGCUUGAUGAAAGGUACAUGCCUUAAUGAGAGUCAUCUUUCUUAAGAAAUUACCAGAUUGUGCUGUGGCCUGGGGUUCCUGUUUCUCUUUAGGCCUCAUCCCCAGCCUCCUACCCUUUGUCCUGGUGCCCCCACGUCUCUGGCUUCUGGCUUCACUUCUCCCACCAGGACCCAACCAUUCUCCCUCCUGGUUUGCCUGGGUGGCCCCCACGUCCUCCCAGGAGGAGCUCCCUAUGGCUGCUGCCUGAGCAUGUAGGGCCUCCUGCGUGCAGUGGUCCGAGUGGGCACCGAGGGCCUCCUGCGUGCGGUGGUCUGAAUGGGAACUGCUUUGUCAAGGCUGCACAUGUGAGCUCUGGGGCCCAGGACUGUCCAGGGUCCGACUCAGUACCUUCUCUGGGGAAGCCUCAGGUGAUGCUGGUCACACAGGGGCUCCUGUUGCAGCACAUACAUGUUGACCAGGUAUUAGGGGUUUUCUUGUUUGUUAACCGGAAUCACUGUCUAUGCACUGGAGACUACCCUGGAUCAGAAGCUGAUGUUUCAUCUUAUGCCCUCUCCAGUGUGGCCGACACCCUAUCUCUUGGGAGGUCACCCCACCUUUCAGCAUCCCCAGAGCCUCUCAUUCUCUUGGUCCACACCUGAGCCAGGCAGGGCCUGCUUCUGGGUUCUGCAGCACUGCUCAGGUCUCUGCGUCUCCAUCCCAUGCCCACCGCCGCUCUGUGGUCCACAUGGUGGAGUCAGAGCAUGCGCCUCCCGUCCAGUGCCUCUUCCCAUGGCACUCCCCCGUCACUGCACCUGAUCCUUGCAGUGCUGUGCGGCUUGUCUACCACCACAUGCAGCACCUUCCUAUCCCUAGUGAUGCCCCUUCUGCCCUUUGGAGCACUAAACCAUCCGUGGCUGUCUGAUUUCCUUUAAAGACACCAUCUUCCUUGAAGAACAUGAAGUCUGAGGGUGCCUGUGAAGGGGCCCCUUCCUUCUGCUGACGCAGCCCUGUGGUUCUGAUGGCUCAGGCUGUGCUGACUUGAGCAUGUGCAGCCACCAGCUGUGGCCUGGUACACCCCCAAGAGCAUGUGCUCCUGUGCGUCAGUGGCCAGCCACCCCUUCCCUGCUGGCCCCCCAGUUAGUGCUGGUGUUCCACUCUUGUUGCUCUGUGCAGGGUCGAUCUCCUCCUGUGAUGCCUUCCUCAACGUCUUCCAGUCCAGAGGUCUGAGGCCGGAGGUCAUCUGUCCUUGUGCAAGUUCUCCUGAGGCGCUCACUGUCGCCAUCCGCAGGCCACCUGAUCUGGGAGGACCACCUCCAAGAAAAGCAGUCCUAUCGAUGAACGGUCUAAGUUAUGGUGUUAUCAGAGUGGAUACUGAAGAAAAGUUGUCAGUCCUUACUGUUCAGGACGUUGGUCAGGUGAUGCCUGGAGCUAAUGUAUGUGUUGUGAAGUUAGAAGGUACCCCUUAUCUUUGUAAAACUGAUGAAGUGGGAGAAAUAUGCGUCAGUUCCAGUGCAACUGGCACAGCGUACUAUGGAUUGCUUGGAAUCACGAAGAAUGUGUUUGAGGCAGUUCCGGUCACCACAGGAGGAGCACCCAUCUUUGACAGGCCAUUCACCAGGACGGGCUUGCUGGGCUUCAUCGGGCCUGACAACCUGGUCUUCAUCGUGGGCAAACUGGACGGGCUGAUGGUCACUGGAGUCCGCAGACACAAUGCAGAUGACGUUGUGGCCACCGCACUGGCCGUGGAGCCCAUGAAGUUUGUCUACAGAGGCAGGUGAUGCGCUGCGGACCCCUGUGCCGGGAGUAGAUUCCUUCCAUUUACAGCUCGGGAAGUCUUUCUGCAGUAGAUGGAAAGCCCAGCAAAUUUGAAUUCACAAAGCCUAAAAAUUGUUGUACAUCAGAAAACUCCUAAAGUAAAAGGAAAAUAUCUGCAGCAAU